rnacentral:rRNA from 1 species
UACGGGAGGCAGCAGUGGGGAAUUUUCCGCAAUGGGCGAAAGCCUGACGGAGCAAUACCGCGUGAGGGAGGAAGGCUCUUGGGUCGUAAACCUCUUUUCUCAAGGAAGAUAAUGACGGUACUUGAGGAAUAAGCAUCGGCUAACUCC